CCUACGGGUGGCAGCAGUGGGGAAUAUUGCACAAUGGGGGAAACCCUGAUGCAGCGACGCCGCGUGAGUGAAGAAGUAAUUCGUUAUGUAAAGCUCUAUCAGCAGGGAAGAAAAUGACGGUACCUGAGUAAGAAGCCCCGGCUAACUACGUGCCAGCAGCCGCGGUAAUACGUAGGGGGCAAGCGUUAUCCGGAUAUACUGGGUGUAAAGGGAGCGUAGAAGGCAGUGCAAGUCUGGAGUGAAAGGCGGGGGCGCAACCCCCGGACUGCUCUGGAAACUGUACGGCUGGAUUGCAGGAGAGGUAAGUGGAAUUCCUAGUGUAGCGGUGAAAUGCGUAGAUAUUAGGAGGAACACCAGUGGCGAAGGCGGCUUACUGGACUGUAACUGACGUUGAUGCUCGAAAGCGUGGGUAGCAAACAGGAUUAGAUACCCGAGUAGUC
rnacentral:rRNA from 1 species